AUACUCUGGCUUCUCUACAGAUCAUAUAAAUCUUUUGCCUUUUACUAAAGAUUUCCAUGGAGAAGAACAGUUAUGAGUUUGGAAAAAG
rnacentral:snRNA from 1 species